GAGUUUGAUCGUGGCUCAGAUUGAACGCUGGCGGCAUGCCUUACACAUGCAAGUCGAACGGUAACAGGUCUUCGGAUGCUGACGAGUGGCGAACGGGUGAGUAAUACAUCGGAACGUGCCCGAUCGUGGGGGGAUAACGAAGCGAAAGCUUUGCUAAUACCGCAUAAGAUCUACGGAUGAAAGCAGGGGACCGCAAGGCCUUGCGCGAACGGAGCGGCCGAUGGCAGAUUAGGUAGUUGGUGGGAUAAAAGCUUACCAAGCCGACGAUCUGUAGCUGGUCUGAGAGGACGACCAGCCACACUGGGACUGAGACACGGCCCAGACUCCUACGGGAGGCAGCAGUGGGGAAUUUUGGACAAUGGGCGAAAGCCUGAUCCAGCCAUGCCGCGUGCAGGAUGAAGGCCU
rnacentral:rRNA from 1 species